rnacentral:rRNA from 1 species
UACGGGGGGGGCAAGCGUUGUUCGGAAUUACUGGGCGUAAAGGGCUUGUAGGUGGCCAACUAAGUCAGACGUGAAAUCCCUCGGCUUAACCGGGGAACUGCGUCUGAUACUGGAUGGCUUGAGUGUGGGAGAGGGAUGCGGAAUUCCAGGUGUAGCGGUGAAAUGCGUAGAUAUCUGGAGGAACACCGGUGGCGAAGGCGGCAUCCUGGACCAUAACUGACACUGAUAAGCGAAAGCCAGGGGAGCAAACGGG